AGUACCGCGCUGGACAAGGUAGAGGAAGACUUCUGUCGGGUCCUCGUCCAAGCUCAUCUUCAACGCCUUGAAGGGGUAACUACGACUGGAGACACAAUAAGCGUUGGCAGAUGCGUGUGUUGUUGCUGACGCUGGUGACGGUGGUGCUGGUGUUGGUGCUGGGCUCUGCUGGCUCCGUCCCCUUCAGAGGGCGCAGGUUCUUCACCAACAGGAGGAGGAUAUCCAGGAUCAGGAAUCGUCCCGAAUGCGUCAACACUGGGCUUAGCGUGUCGUGUUAAGAGCUUCGUCCUUCAUGCAAGUCUUGGACCUUCUGAUAAUGCUUUAUGAUGGAGCCGGAACCUAUCUGAGAGGAAAACUGUGACAUUCCCUCUAUCACCCCUCUGUGAUGGGUCAUGGAUGUAUCGACGUGGCAACUUUCAGAAUGUGUUAUGGCCGCUGGUGUGUGGCAUCCAUGGUGGUUCCACGCCCUCCGUUCACGUUCAUGCCGCAAGCUCCUCUGCCUUCACCAAGUGCCUACAGCGUGUCUCGGGCAGGACACAGUGGCACCGCCCUAGCGCUGCAGCUCCUUGAUUAUAUGCCAAAGUGAUGACCGGAUAAUGCCGCGGUAAAACAACUUCUGUUUAAAUGACACUUGUUAACUUUACCCAGUAAUAAAGUAUUGUUAUUGUGCGAGCAGUACACGA